GCCUGAGUAGCUCAGUUGGUUGGGCGUCUGACUGCAGCUCAGGUCAUGAUCUCACAGGGUUCAAGCCCCACAUCAGGCU
rnacentral:tRNA from 1 species